AAAUAAGAAGCAACUAUGCAUUUAAUUUCGACUUAAAAGAAAGAGUUAGUUAAAAUACUCCUUAUUUG
rnacentral:tRNA from 1 species